rnacentral:lncRNA from 1 species
AGGAGCUAAGUGGGACACUAAAUUAAUGCCAAACAAAUGGUGGGAUGCACCCAGAAAGAGAUGACCUGUUGGAUAACCCGUGCCCAAACCUGACCUAGGUGAAAAAUUAGGAAUAGCAGAUAUUUGUAACGGUGACCCAGUAGUGAUGGACUCCCCAUGAGGAAUAACUGUGCUGACGGAGGAAGUUUCUCCCCAGUCUCAGGAUUUUUGCCUUAAAGGAUUUUGUUGCGUUGAGUUCCUCGCUUAUUCACCUGGAGCAAGGCAAGAAAAAUAAGAACCUGAACCUCUUUAAUCGUAGCCGUGAAACGAAGGUAGGAGUUGAAGAUGCUGUUCCUCCUGUGGGAGCCUGUACAGGCACAUAUCCAUAUGGCAUCCACUGCACUGUAACAGGCAAGCAGGACACAAAAUCACCUUUGAUUUUUGAUCUGAGAGAGUCUCUGUGCCAGUAACAAUACCGGAAAGAGCAUCCCCAACCUUAGGUUAGGUUAGUCCCUGUUGUAGAAUGGUAUUACUACUUCUUGCAUGGAAAAGAGGAGUCUUUCUAGUUUCUCCAAAAGCAAAAUGCAGACAAUGGCAACUAGCAUUAGUAGGAUCUGUUCAGGAUUUUUCACCUUUUUGUUGUU